UACGAAGGGAGCUAGCGUUGUUCGGAAUCACUGGGCGUAAAGCGCACGUAGGCGGAUGUGUCAGUCAGGGGUGAAAUCCCGGAGCUCAACUUCGGAACUGCCUUUGAUACAGCACGUCUUGAGUCCGGAAGAGGUGGGUGGAAUUCCUGGUGUAGCGGUGGAAUGCGCAGAUAUCAGGAGGAACACCAAUAGCGAAGGCAGCUCGCUGGGACGGUAUUGACGCUAAGGCGCGAAAGCGUGGGGAGCAAACAGG
rnacentral:rRNA from 1 species